UUAGAACGUCAUGCUGAGCUUGCCGAAGCAUCUCUACCGCUUCGUAUAAGCCAUUCAACGAAGCGGUAGAGAUGCUUCGGCAAGCUCAGCAUGACGUUCUGGUGGGUUGAUUAUUUUCCAAACGACUUCCCUGAUUGCUUCUCAACAAAAAACCCCGCCGGACAUAUCCGGCGGGGUUUU
rnacentral:ncRNA from 1 species